GGGUGGGUGGCUCUGUGGUUAGAGCCAAGGGCUCGUAACCGAAAGGUUCCGAGUUCGAAUCUCGCAAGAGGCA
rnacentral:tRNA from 1 species